rnacentral:rRNA from 1 species
UACGUAGGGUGCGAGCGUUGUCCGGAAUUAUUGGGCGUAAAGAGCUCGUAGGCGGUGUGUCGCGUCGGCCGUGAAAACCUGCAGCUUAACUGUGGGCUUGCGGUCGAUACGGGCAUCACUGGAGUUCGGCAGGGGAGACUGGAAUUCCUGGUGUAGCGGUGAAAUGCGCAGAUAUCAGGAGGAACACCGGUGGCGAAGGCGGUUGCCUGGAGCUUUGCUGACGCUGAGGCGCGAAAGCGUGGGGAGCGAGCCGG